GGGGGGGUUUAAAGAGACAAAAAGGUCACUGGAUAUAUAUGUACUGUGUGUGUGUGUGUGUGUGUGUCAAUGCCACAGUGUGUGUGUGUGUGUGUGUCAAUGAACUUGCAGUGAGAUAAGGGCUUUAUCAAUCUGCAGCGUCUGUGUGCCGCAAGUGUAUCUUUGACUGGUGACGGCCCAGACCUGACGCAAUCCUACAGCCCCACUUAUACAACGUAGACGGGAUAUAGGGAGACAGCAGAAUGAGACGUUUUUAUCUACGGAUGGAGCGGGUCCUCUUCUGUGGAGGUCGCCAUGUUUAACUGCCAUGUUUCUACAGUAGCCCAGAACGGACAAACCAAACACUGGCUCUAGAUACGGUCUUAUUUUUCUUCACAAUUCAGGACAGCACUUGCUCACAAAUGGUCAUAUAAUUAACUGGUAGGCCGAGUAUUGACACAUUUAACUCCAGUUUUCACACAGUUUAUCCAACCAACAGUCGGGUUUUGAACAAAAUACACCACCAUAUGUGUUUAUGUUGGAGAGUGAGCGGGUAAAAUACAAUUUUCCAGCAUUUUUUGGUUAAUUUCCAUGACUGGAAAACUAGUCUCUAAAUUUCCAGAUCAUCCAGGAUGCAUGGGCACACUGCAAAAGUGAUUCAUACUUACUCCAGUUGUAAAAAUGUGUGGCCAUUACACACAGAAAUAUCAUACAUUACACUCUGACCUCGAGCCUUUUCCUCUAUAUUUUGCAGAAACUUGUUGUUGAAAAGUCUUGGAGAAAAACAUAGAAUGUAAUAGUUUUGCUUUUUUAAAGUGUUGUUUAAUGACGACAUGAUGAGAAUCACACCUGUACUGUGAACCUGGAGGGGGUUAUAAAAGACAGACGCCUGCACACAACGUGGUUGGACAUCGUCAACUGGGUUAGUAACACAAAGGUUUUCAAGGGGCAAUUCAGGUCAGCCUGGAAGAGACGAGGAAGUUUUUAUCCCAAGAAAAUGAGCCCCGGCCAAGACCGAGAGAGCUGCAUGUUAAAGACAAGCUCACGACAAAAGUAUGUUUAAACACUCGCUGAAACAGAACGAGGAAAGAGCACAGUUCAGACGCUCCCAGAUGGAUGUAAUGGAAAAUUCCUGCGCUGAUUCCUGUAAGGUUGUUCGUCGCUGAAAGGCCUCCAGAGGAGCACGAGACUGACAGGAACUCCUCCCCCUCCCAAAGCAUUACAUAAACUCCAGAACAUCUGCAUCAUAUAUCAUCGCCGAGCCUGACUCAUCAGAUUGCGCCUGACGGGGCCGAGCAGCUGCAGAGCGAUGGGGAGACAUUUAAAUUAAGUUUUUUCUCAGCCUGUCGUGCGAUGAUAAUGAAGGACAGAUGGACUCCUGCAACCGGUUUUAAUAUUUGAAUCGACAAAUGUGAAGAGUUUUUGUCAUCCUGAGCAUGAAAAGUGUCAAAAGAAUAUCAAGAAUAUAAAAAGUGGCAUUUUAAAGAGUAUAUAACUUUAUACAAUAGACCUUCUUAUUGGUUUAUUUGCCCUUUUCCUGCAAUUUAGUGCAUAAAGUUGAAAACAUUUUAAAUAAAGCUAAAUACCAAAUAAUUAAUUUCUUUAUAAAAUGGAAAACGGAUGGAGUUUAGAUGCAUGACAAUGUAUUUAAAAUACAAAACUCCACUUCCUGUGACUUUUCCUGUACUUUAUCAGAUACUUUUAAAGGUGAACAAAGUGCAAUACAGGCUCUGAAAUGUACUCAAAGUAGUCUUUGUCGUGGGCGAUGUGCCUUUUGUCUUGGCGUUUAAGAAGGCGUACAAUGAUGCAAAAAAAAUACAAAUUUCAAGUAUCGAAGCUGUUAUUUAUGUAAAACUGUAGACGGCUAGAAGUAAAAAGUCACUACUUUGGCUCCUUCCAACCUCUUUAAAUCUCUACAUACAGUUUCUUUAAUGAUAAUAGAUUUAAAAUACAAAACUCCACUUCCUGUGACUUUUCCUGUACUUAAUCAGUUACUUUUAAUGCAGUACAGGCUCUAAAAUGUACUCAAAGUAUAAAAGUUAUAAAAGUAAUCUCUUGGUUUCUCUGAAGGACAUUUCUACCGACUGUUUCUGUUCAAAACUAACUGCAACUUCAAAUAGUUUUGUCUAUUAAUUAUAAGGCUGUCGUGCGCAAUGUGCACCUGUGUUAACGUUUAAGAAGGCGUGCAAUGAUGCAAGUGAAUUAAAACGUAAAAAUGUAGACGGCUAGAAGUGCAAACUCACUACUUUGGCUCCUUCCAACCUCUGUUGGGAUAAAUAAAGUAUCUAUCUAUCUAUCUAUCUAUCUAUCUAUCUAUCUAUCUAUCUAUCUAUCUAUCUAUCUAUCUAUCUAUCUAUCUAUCUAUCUAUCUAUCUAUCUAUCUAUCUAUCUACAGUUUCUUUAAUGACUGAAUCUGCCCCUCACGCUCACAGCUAAAUGUUCAACUUUGAUCGCAGGUAAAAGUCCACUGUCGUCUAAUAAAGGAUUAGACGACAGUGGACUUUUACCUGCGCUGCCAUUGAACUUUCCAGCUGCAGCACAUUCUUUCUUUCUUCACUCUUUAUACUUUGCAUAAUGAAGGUCAACUCUCAGAGCUGAAGGUUCAGGCUUUGUGGAACGAGAGCACGGUCAGUCCACGAUCUAAACCCCUCUGACCAUCCAGUCUGAACUUUAAACUUUGAUUGCUGUGAAGUAAGAGGGAAUAGUUUCUCUUGGACAAACGGAUCGAAGGACGGCUGCAGACAUGACCUCAUCCAAUCAGUUUUCAGGCCGCAUGCAGGACGGGGUGGAUUUAACAGAAAUGGGUUACCCAGAAAGUCCUAUUAAUGUGGCCAGGCCUUGAAUCAAAGCCAAUGAUCCCUCUAGCAGCACGUAUCUCUUAUCUCUCUCUAAUCUGAAGGAAUUUUAGAAUAAAGCAGGAACGUCUAGUUCGAUACCAGGAACCUUAUAGCUCUUUUAGCGGGCUGCUGUGUCGAGUUUCCUUCCUCAUAAAAUAUUUAAUCUAUAAGAUAAAGGUUUAUUCGAGAGCGUAUUUUCAUUAAGAAAUUGGCAUUAAGCACUGAGCUCAGUGGGUUUUUUUUAUUUUAUUGGAUUUUGGUUAGAGGUCUGAAAUAAGGUCUGAAAUAAACACAAGCUUAAGUUUUGUUUUGUUUGUCACAUUUUGUUCUAUGAUGUAAAAUACAUCAGUACUUACUUUUCGCCUUUACAGCUUUACAGCUUAUG